rnacentral:rRNA from 1 species
UACGUAGGGUGCAAGCGUUGUCCGGAAUCAUUGGGCGUAAAGCGCGCGUAGGUGGCUUCGUAAGUCCGUUGUGAAAGUCAAAGGCUCAACCUUUGAAAGCCGAUGGAUACUGCGGAGCUAGAGUACGGAAGAGGCGAGUGGAAUUCCUGGUGUAGCGGUGGAAUGCGCAGAUAUCGAGGAGGAACACCGGUGGCGAAGGCGGCUUGCUGGGCCUUACCUGACGCUGAGGAGCGAAAGCGUGGGGAGCGAACAGG